rnacentral:rRNA from 1 species
AUAAUGCAAGUCGAGCGGACAGAUGGGAGCUUGCUCCCUGAUGUUAGCGGCGGACGGGUGAGUAACACGUGGGUAACCUGCCUGUAAGACUGGGAUAACUCCGGGAAACCGGGGCUAAUACCGGAUGGUUGUUUGAACCGCAUGGUUCAGACAUAAAAGGUGGCUUCGGCUACCACUUACAGAUGGACCCGCGGCGCAUUAGCUAGUUGGUGAGGUAACGGCUCACCAAGGCAACGAUGCGUAGCCGACCUGAGAGGGUGAUCGGCCACACUGGGACUGAGACACGGCCCAGACUCCUACGGGAGGCAGCAGUAGGGAAUCUUCCGCAAUGGACGAAAGUCUGACGGAGCAACGCCGCGUGAGUGAUGAAGGUUUUCGGAUCGUAAAGCUCUGUUGUUAGGGAAGAACAAGUGCCGUUCAAAUAGGGCGGCACCUUGACGGUACCUAACCAGAAAGCCACGGCUAACUACGUGCCAGCAGCCGCGGUAAUACGUAGGUGGCAAGCGUUGUCCGGAAUUAUUGGGCGUAAGGGCUCGCAGGCGGUUUCUUAAGUCUGAUGUGAAAGCCCCCGGCUCAACCGGGGAGGGUCAUUGGAAACUGGGGAACUUGAGUGCAGAAGAGGAGAGUGGAAUUCCACGUGUAGCGGUGAAAUGCGUAGAGAUGUG